GGCGCAGCAGGCGCGAAACCUUUACACUGCACGCCAGUGCGAUAAGGGGAUCCCAAGUGCGUAGGCAUAGAGCCUACGCUUUUGUCCACCCUAGGGUGGUGGACGAAUAAGGGCUGGGCAAGACCGGUGCCAGCCGCCGCGGUAAUACCGGCAGCCCAAGUGAUGGCCGAUCUUAUUGGGCCUAAAGCGUCCGUAGCUGGCCGCACAAGUCCAUCGGGAAAUCCACCUGCUCAACAGGUGGCCGUCCGGUGGAAACUGUGUGGCUUGGGACCGGAAGGCGCGACGGGUACGUCCGGGGUAGGAGUGAAAUCCUGUAAUCCUGGACGGACCGCCGAUGGCGAAAGCACGUCGCGAAAACGGAUCCGACAGUGAGGGACGAAAGCUAGGGUCUCGAACCGGAUUAGAUACCCGGGUAGUCCUAGCCGUAAACACUGCCUGCUAGGUGUGGCUCCCACUACGAGUGGGUGCUGUGCCGUAGGGAAGCCGCUAAGCAGGCCGC
rnacentral:rRNA from 1 species